CAGCCGCCGCGGUAAUACGUAGGUGGCAAGCGUUGUCCGGAAUUAUUGGGCGUAAAGGGCUCGCAGGCGGUUUCUUAAGUCUGAUGUGAAAGCCCCCGGCUUAACCGGGGAGGGUCAUUGGAAACUGGGAGACUUAGAGUGCAGAAGAGGAGAGUGGAAUUCCAUGUGUAGCGGUGAAAUGCGUAGAUAUAUGGAGGAACACCAGUGGCGAAGGCGACUCUCUGGUCUGUAACUGACGCUGAGGCGCGAAAGCGUGGGGAGCAAACAGGAUUAGAUACCCGCGUAGUCCCUGUCUCUUAUU
rnacentral:rRNA from 1 species